GAUUGGUACUGGGGCCUGCAGCUCUAUCAGCACUGCCUAGGAGAAGAAAGCUGCAAGAUUCGAGUGGUUUUCCUGCCAGUUCUAUUUCCGGUGGCACAGCGAGCCAGCUCCUGGCUUUGUGCAGAGAGAUGUGCUGGGGGAGAUGGCACUUGAAAAUUCAGACAAGAAACCUAUAAAGCUUCGAGUCAGACUGCAAACACCGUUUUCAGGUUGUGAAAACACUGUUUUCGAGACUCGCGUUGGCAGGAAAGGUUUGAUCACAUGUAUAUAUCGGAACAGAAGUAGGAGUGAAAUUCCAAGAUACUUUGGCUUUCUGCUGUCAAAUAUUCCACAGCACAAAGGCAAUACUUAACACUUAGAGGGCGUAACAGCAGCAAAAUGUCCAAACGUCCUAUGUGUCCACAUGUCAAAUCUCUUCUGUGCAUCCUUGCUGUGUCCCCCCAGCAGACUCCCGCACCGCACUAAAUUACCACAAGCAAGCAGUAACCAUGGGCCAGACAUCUUGGAGGAAUGCUUACUUUGCUAUCCAAACCACUCUGAUGUACCGGAACUUUAUGUCACUCCAUAGCUAUGAGCAUGUAAUGGAGAGACUCGAAUGGCCUCAGGACCCGCACCUUGUGAGCCGGCAGGGAGCUGGGCCUGGAGACGUGGCUGCUGAUAUACGUGAAUAUAUGAACAGAACAAGAUGCCUGGCAUUGCCAAAGUACAUCCUGACCUCCCAUCCCUGCCUGACUCCCCCAGCAGUUUCCCUGGAGGUGUGAUUGUUUAUAUGGG
ensembl:lncRNA